ACUUCCACAUAGUGCUGUUAGGUUAGGAAAACGCGUGCCCCAAUAGGACUAAAAAUCUUCUAUUCAACAAAAGAUUAAGACUCUUCUCAACACGCUCCAUGUCACUUGCUCGGUGCAGGGCGGUGAUGUCAGUGAUCCAACAUAUCUCAAGAAUCGCUUGCCUCCAACAUUGAGCAGCGAGGGAUCCACCACUUGAACAUCUUGCUCGCCACUCAGCUCAAGUUACCAAAACGACGAAAAAAACUAAAGAUCUCUGUUUACCUGAUCGAUAAAAGGGUCGUACUCGGAUCCAAUCGUGUACAUGACAGCGACGGACAAGAUGCCCACGAGAUGCUUCUCAUUCACAGUGUCGCUGUGAACAUGGAUGUGAUACUCGCUACAAGGAUGAUAUGGAUUCAGGAGAUACAUACUGCUAUGUCGUGGUCGAGAUUGGUGAGUGGCAUUCGCUGGUUUGUAUCUCGUCUGGAGCAGCUUCAAAGAGCACACUGGUUGGAGCCUCUCGGAUUGAAUGUCCACCGGAGAUUGCAUUCUGCCACUGCUGCAAACCCUCCAUUCUUUUACCCAAGUUUCCCCAGUUUGCCUAGCNNNNNNNNNNNNNNNNNNNNNNNNNNNNNNNNNNNNNNNNNNNNNNNNNNNNNNNNNNNNNNNNNNNNNNNNNNNNNNNNNNNNNNNNNNNNNNNNNNNNNNNNNNNNNNNNNNNNNNNNNNNNNNNNNNNNNNNNNNNUCUCUCCAUCUCUCCUAAACCCCAUUAACACUUUAGUCAGCCGUGAUCCGUGGAACGCGAAAAAAUCCUUUUGAGUUGUGAAUGUGGCACGGCCUUUGGACGCGGGGUCCCCAAAAUAAAUAAAGCAUCAGCAUCAGAAUCUUAUGGGUUUCUUCCUGCGCGUUGGGUGCUGGGCGCCUCUCAGGUACGUUUUUCUCCCCUCAUGGCGAGGAUUUGGGCGCUCUAAAAAGAAAUGCGAGCUGCACGGGUGUUCAUCCAGUGUCUCCUUUCUUCUCUUCUAGCCUGCCGAGAAUGGCCAGAUGCAUGCUGCCCCAGACGGGAUUCAACCGUAGACGAUGACAAGAGGUAAAGUUUAUUUCCUGUUUGUAGAUCAUUAGUUUUUUCCUAAAACUGUCUAGCCUAGGGUAUUUUCCAAUGCACCUGGUUUGUGUAGGCUUUUCAAUUUAGAGAAGCAUUGGUGUUUCUGAUGAAUCAAGUGUUGAGAGUGAGAUUGUUGAGGAUAGAGAUAUUUUUUAGGUAAGUUAAAUUAUCCAUUAUCAUACUAAAUCUAUUGUUGUUAUUUGAAAAUUUCCUCCAGCUUUAGUAGAAGUUUAAUUAAUUUUGCCUCAAGACACUUACCUUGGAAUUUCAAGGCUGAUGCAAUAGAAGUAUAUGGCUCAUUGAUCCUAAUUGGAGGGGUGUAUAUAAUAAGAUGCCACUAGGAGAGUAUUGAAUCUUGUCUGGGCUAAUGUUUCUAUGAAUCAUGUUUGCAUAAACUAGGGGAUUAUCAACUCCCACUCCAACUGUAGAACCAUAGGAUAUUGUUUUAGUUGACAGUAAAUAUGGCAAACAUUAGCUAUACACAAUUUAGCUAGACUCCAACAAAGACACAUGACUAGAAUUCACUGACAAGUAUACUCAAAUGACAUGUUUUAUGAUUUAAGAAGACAUUUAUGUGGACAUGUUGUUGUUGUCUAGUACUUUUGUGACUAAUGUUAGUUUAUAGAAUAUAAAAUUGAACUUCAAUCCAUUUGGCAUAGUAUGCAUGGUAUAGAGUUUAAUAAGAAUACAUGUAGGUUCUUGUUCAACUAGAAAUAAUGGCUCAACAUAAGUGACAAAUACAACAAUGCUAAUACACUUGCAAGUAGAGAGGAUGUAUGAUUUGGUCUAUUUCACACAUAAGAGUUCAAAGCUAUAUUAGAUGCAACUACAAAGAUGGAGUUGAUAACCACAAAUGACCUAGACUCUGGUGCAAUGGUUUUGUUGGGAAACUUUGGCAUUGGAAGCUACAGAAAUGAAGAUAUAGUUUCAAUGAUUGUUAGCUAUGCCAAACUUGUCUGGAUGGGUGGUGAGGUUUUUUUACAUCACAUGCUAAAUGACCAUGCCAUGCCACACUGAUGGGAGUGGCAACUAGUCCUAGCUGCUGCAGGGGUCCUCAAGGCUGACUUCAAGUGACUCUUCUGUAAUGACGGCAUUUAGGAUGUUCUCACUAGGGUGAGAGGACAUGUUGGAGGAGACUGCAUCUUGGUACCGGGAAAGAAGAUGAGUUAAAAUUCCUACAUCGCUACACUUUCUCAUAUUGAAUAUAUUUGUUUGGCACCUAUGUAGGAACAAGGAUGUAAUUUGAAGUUUAAGGGACUUGUUUGAGAGAGCAGAAACACAGUAUAUAUAUUUCUUAGGUUUCCUCAUUGGCAAUAUGAUGCUUUGACUAUACAAAGAGGCACAAAGAUGGUUGCACAAUUCAAGGUUAAUGGUAUAACUCUAAUAUUAAUGUUGUUCCAAAUUGCCUUAAGAUGUGAAUUCACAUGUUUCUAGUUUUGACAGCACCUAAGGACAUCAAAGUUUAACAUUAUGUACACAACAGAACUUGGCAAUAGUUUUGUUUUGGAGGACCAAGCUAUGGAUGCCAGAGGCCUAAUGAAAAAUGUAUUGUGUGAAGCUCUUUAUCAAGUUCUAAGCAGUGCCAUGGUUUUCAUGCCUCACAUUUGCACUUAUGUUGUAGUCAAUUGGAAUGUUUGUGAUGGGAGAAGGUGGUGCCUAUUGACAUCCAAGGAUGUUGCCUAGUAUGACACGAUUGCAGGAGUGUUAUAAAAACUUUGUAAGUCUCUAUAGUCCUUUGUAAUGCUUUCUAACAAGGAUUCAAUGUGCAAGCAAUGUUCAUGGGUUGGUUUCUUUUCCAAGUGUUCAAGAACAAUGUCUAGGUAUCAUGGACUUGCACAAUAGCCAUGCUUGCAAUAGCAGCAAGGGAGAUGCCUGAGCAAGAUGACAAGAGAUUGUGUCAGGGCAGAGUAUUUGAAAUGGAUUUGAAGUCCACCUUAUUUGCUGUGUGGAACGCCAUGAACAUGCUCUGAGGGGUGACAAGUCAAGGCUCUAAACAGGUUCAGAAGGAGUCAGUGGAAACCAUUCUUGAGGACCUUACAAUUGUAUAUCUCAACUAACUCUUACAACCACAAUAACUAUGUUGACACCAUGGAAGAAUGCAUGUCUAUAGUAGUGUGGCAAGUGUUGUUUGACAAGCUAAAGUAAGUGGUAUACAUGUUAAAGGGCAAGUUUUGCUCACUCUAUGAUAAAGGGGGCACAGGAAAUACCCCACCAGAAAAGGAUUUUACUUGGUAUAUUGGCCAGCCUGGCACAGAUGCACUUCUUCAAGUUUUCCAGGUCUAUAUGAUCAUCCGGCUAGAACAAUUCAUUGAGUGCCCAUAAUUUAGCAACAAUAUAGAUGAGAACUUGCACACUUGAUCAAUUGGUUUGCAAGUGAUAAUCCUCCUAAUUUGAAAAUUGCUUCUUCUGCAGAAAUCAAUAGCAAAUGGCUCUCAAAAUUACACCACUUUGCAUGUGACUAAGUUGAGUGAGCCAAUAUGGAUUUAGUGUUAUACAAUGAAUAACUAACUUGAUCAAUAUCUCAUAACUUAGACUUGCUUGAGGGAGAUAUUGUUCUUGUUAAACUACCCUAGCAAGGAGUGCACACAAGACUUGCUAUAUCAAUCGCUUUUUAACCCAGUCUUGUAUGGCAGAAAUGAUGAAUGUGAAUUUGAACUCUUAUAAAGUAAGAAAUUUAAAAUUGUCUAGAGUCUAAGUUCAUCAUGAGAAUAUUUUAUAUAUUCUAGUGGGCAUUUUAUUUUCACUCGUUUCCUUUAGUAGACAAAGAUAUAUUCAUCAUGGCUUCUAAUAAAUCUUCUAAAAUGGGAUUUGCUUUAGGAACAAGAGUCACAAUCUUCUAAACCAUGUUUUCCUCUUUUAUUUGGGCUUGGUGCCAUAAUCAUGUGGAUGAAACCACAGGCCUAGGGCUUUUUUAUAGCCAGAUCUCUACUUCAUACGGUGAGUAAAAUCCCCUCUAAAGCACUAUGCAAUCUGAUAAACCCUUGACCUACUCCAUAGAAUGAGAGGGAGAAGGAUUGAUGGAGCUGUGUGAGACAAAAAUCAAUGUAGCGAAGUAUAGAAAAAAAUUAUUGCUUACCAAAGGAUGAACAAUACUCAAACAACAUACAUAGAAUAGUUUUAGCCCAUUCUUGCUCACCUAAAAUCUUGGAUUUAUAGUUUUUCACAACAACAGUUAGUUUAAAUUUGCCAAAGUUUAACGUAUCUUUGAAGCUAUAAAAGAAAUUUUGGCAUUCAAGUUAAAUUUUUUAAUUUGCUAUUGCCAAGAACUCUCUGGUCCUUGGCUCUCUAUAGAUCAGGCCUGGUAAUUGUUAAUCUAUCGAAUUUUAAUUUUUCCCAUCAUGAGAAGAGUACUCCGGCAAAGCUCUUGGUCUCAAAGGCCCCAGUCCAUCGCCUCUCCUCCGCUCCUGAAUGUUAGUGGUGUUGCCCGGUAAAUUUAAACCUACUUUGAUUCUUUGCCGGCGUCGAUAAGGCAUCUCAGACUUGCAUUGCCAAAAUCAUCAAAGACGACUACGUUUCAUCCUCGCCUGAGCUGAGCACAUUGGCAAAUAAGGCCGGUCAAAUUUGUGACUGAGAAAAAAACUUGUUAACUGGUGCUGGAUCCCUCAGAAGCUCAACGUCAUGCAUUCAAGACAAACGGACACCAGCAAAGCGCCGCAUGUACCAGGAGAACUUCCGAGGAUUUCAGUAACUUACGAAAAUACUGUAUACUGGAGUAUUUGAAAGUCAUGCUCUCGCUGUCAAGUAGAGCUUCCCAUCAUUUCCGUGGUAGUCAUAGCUAUUUGGCUCUCAUCUGGAAAAGAAAAGAGACUUUCUUCUCUGUCAACUCACCACUCGUUGUAAUGUUUUCAUAUAUGAAUCGAGAUCACUCCUUUUUGUCCUCAAUCUCAAACGGCCGGCCUAUUUCCCGGGAUGUUUCUCUGACCUGGAGAUUUGAAGCCGCUGGGCACUAUCUAUCUAGCCAUUGCCAGAUGAAUGUGGGGCAGAGAUCCACAACAGAAUGGUGCCACGGAAUGCACUACACCCUGUUGCAUUGAAGUCCAACUUAAGCAUAGCAAAUUUAUUGUUAACCUAUGAGAUAAUCAAAUAAAUAAGGACGUCCAGUUGGGCUCCAAAAGACCCUGGCGCCCAGCUGGGUCUUCAGAAAGCACAAGAGAGUCAAAAGAGCUUUUUCUGUAGGAGAACAAGCAAAACAAUAGUGAUAGGUUGAAUCGUAGUUAAUCUUGAAAAAUCUUAGAACAGCACAGCAUAUUCACUUUUAAGAAUCACAGGAACAUUUGCCCUCGCUUCAAAAAACGAUAAGGAUUUAAAAAACAAAAAUCAACUUUAAGACUUACUCCUCAAGAUGCUUGCUUGCUUUUCCGUCAUCAAAGCAUAGAAGGAAUGGACGGGAUCCAGGUAGACAGGACGCACUGGGCCAGGAAGCCUAUUAAGCAAUUCCACAUAGAGCGUAAUAUUCUCGGGUUCUGGAAUCUGGAACACUUUGAGAUGGAUGUAUUUUGAGCUGGUUUGCAUCUACUAGGAGAAGCGCCACAAGCAAGAGAAAUAUAGAUUUCCACAUAGUGCUGUUGCUAGCUUAAAAAACCGCGUGCCCUAAUAGGACUAAAACGAAUCUUCUAUUUAUAAUAGCUUAUUCUUCUUCCAAACAAGCCUUGUAUCGAUCUAUCACCCUGUACACAGAAUGUUAGAAGUUGUUUAUUAGCGCGUGAAUUAAUUCUUACAUUGAGGGCAUUCAUCAAAAGCCGGUACUGGGUUUUCGAGAUCGUUCGUGGCUGCAACAUCAGAACCAUGGUCAGCGGAAAAGAAACAAAAGAUUAAGGAAAUAAUUUGUUUACUCUUCUCAACACGCUCCAUGUCACUUGCUCGGUGCAGGGUGGUGAUGUCAGUGAUCCAACAUAUCUGAAGAAUCGCUUGCCUCCAACAUUGAGCAGCGAGGGAUCCACCACUUGAACAUCUUGCUCGCCACUCAGCUCAGGUAGAAAAUGCUCAACCUUACAAAAAAGACAGCAGAAAUCACAAAGAAAACCCAGAUCUCUAUUUACCUGAUCGAUAAAAGGUCGUCCUCGGAUCCAAUCGUGUACAUGACGGCGACGACUGCAAGCCUGUUGUCUUCACUCCUGUGGACGAGAUGCCCCUCGACUGCGAGAUGCUUCCCAUUCACAGUGUGCUCGCUGGGAGCAUGGAUGUGAUACUCGCUCACACUGUACAAGGUGCCAUCGAUGAUGAGCGAUCCCGAUGAAGAAUCGCCAAACUCGAGCUAAAGGCGAGUGUACUCAGCAGAUGGAUACAAAGUCUCGAAUAAAGUGCCGCUGUUCUGGACUAGAUCUAGGAAAUGCCAAUAGGAAUUUGGCCCUACC
rnacentral:lncRNA from 1 species